CCCUUAGAUGUUCUGGGCUGCACGCGCGCUACACUGAUGCGCUCAACGAGUUUAUGACCUUGCCCGGCAGGGUUGGGUAAUCUUCUUAAAACGCAUCGUGAUGGGGAUAGAUUAUUGUAAUUAUUGCUCUUCAACGAGGAAUUCCUAGUAAGCGCGAGUCAGCAGCUCGCGCUGAUUACGUCCCUGCCCUUUGUACACACCGCCCGUCGCUCCUACCGAUUGAAUGGUCCGGUGAAAUCUCGGGACGGCGGCUCGGUCGCUUGCGUCCGACUGCUGAAACUUGAUUAAACCAUAUCAUUUAGAGGAAGGUGAAGUCGUAACA
rnacentral:rRNA from 1 species